AGUUGAUGUGAUGAUAACCUUUCACAGAAAAUCGUGUUGACUAAAAUUACAGACUACAAUUAUCUGAUCAACU